UUUAAUCCACCGCCAGAAGCU
rnacentral:snRNA from 1 species